rnacentral:rRNA from 1 species
GCAUUAUACGGCGAAACUGCGAAUGGCUCAUUAUAUAAGUUAUCGUUUAUUUGAUAGCACAUUACUACUUGGAUAACCGUGGUAAUUCUAGAGCUAAUACAUGCUAAAAAUCCCGACUUCGGAAGGGAUGUAUUUAUUAGAUUAAAAACCAAUGCCCUCUGGGCUCUCUGGUGAAUCAUGAUAACUGCUCGAAUCGCAGGGCCUCGUGCCGGCGAUGGUUCAUUCAAAUUUCUUCCCUAUCAACUUUCGAUGUUUGGGUAUUGGCCAAACAUGGUUACAACGGGUAACGGAGGGUUAGGGCUCGACCCCGGAGAAGGAGCCUGAGAGACGGCUACUACAUCCAAGGAAGGCAGCAGGCGCGCAAAUUACCCAAUCCCGACACGGGGAGGUAGUGACAAUAAAUACUGAUACAGGGCUCUUUCGGGUCUUGUAAUUGGAAUGAGUACAAUUUAAAUCCCUUAACGAGGAACAAUUGGAGGGCAAGUCUGGUGAACGUUUUGCUGGUGCCAGAGAGAGCUACCCCUCCUGUGAGCGAUGGAAGAAGAUAGCUAGUCGCGCGCUCGAUCAGUGACGGGUGAGCGCCGGCGAGACAACCUGGAUCGGGGAAGCCUAAGGGCGCUGAAAGAAGCGCCUACGGUGAUCCCGAGCAGAGCCCCGCGGCCAGCGUGCCGGAGGGCCUGUGUAGAGCGCGCCAAGGUGUCGGUCCCUCCUCAAGGGGGGGGGCUUAAGGUACGUGCCAAUCCCCUGCGAAAGCAGGGCCCUGCGGAGUAGCACCCGUCGUGCGAAGCCGUAGGGGAGGACGCCCAGGGCGCCUCCGUGACAUAGUGGCCAGCAGCCGCGGUAAUUCCAGCUCCAAUAGCGUAUAUUAAAGUUGUUGUGGUUAAAAAGCUCGUAGUUGAACCUUGGGCCUGGCUGGCCGGUCCGCCUCACCGCGUGUACUGGUCCGGCCGGGCCUUUCCCUCUGUGGAACCCCAUGCCCUUCACUGGGCGUGGCGGGGAAACAGGACUUUUACUUUGAAAAAAUUAGAGUGCUCCAGGCAGGCCUAUGCUCGAAUACAUUAGCAUGGAAUAAUAGAAUAGGACGUGCGGUUCUAUUUUGUUGGUUUCUAGGACCGCCGUAAUGAUUAAUAGGGACAGUCGGGGGCAUCAGUAUUCAAUUGUCAGAGGUGAAAUUCUUGGAUCUAUUGAAGACUAACUACUGCGAAAGCAUUUGCCAAGGAUGUUUUCAUUAAUCAGGAACGAAAGUUAGGGGAUCGAAGACGAUCAGAUACCGUCGUAGUCUUAACCAUAAACUAUGCCGACUAGGGAUCGGACGAUGUUAUUUUUUGACUCGUUCGGCACCUUACGAGAAAUCAAAGUGC